ACCUGCGGAGGGAUCAUUACCGAGUUUACAACUCCCAAACCCCUGUGAACAUACCAAUUGUUGCCUCGGCGGAUCAGCCCGCUCCCGGUAAAACGGGACGGCCCGCCAGAGGACCCCUAAACUCUGUUUCUAUAUGUAACUUCUGAGUAAAACCAUAAAUAAAUCAAAACUUUCAACAACGGAUCUCUUGGUUCUGGCAUCGAUGAAGAACGCAGCAAAAUGCGAUAAGUAAUGUGAAUUGCAGAAUUCAGUGAAUCAUCGAAUCUUUGAACGCACAUUGCGCCCGCCAGUAUUCUGGCGGGCAUGCCUGUUCGAGCGUCAUUUCAACCCUCAAGCCCCCGGGUUUGGUGUUGGGGAUCGGCGAGCCCUUGCGGCAAGCCGGCCCCGAAAUCUAGUGGCGGUCUCGCUGCAGCUUCCAUUGCGUAGUAGUAAAACCCUCGCAACUGGUACGCGGCGCGGCCAAGCCGUUAAACCCCCAACUUCUGAAUGUUGACCUCGGAUCAGGUAGGAAUACCCGCUGAACUUAAGCAUAUCAAUAAG
rnacentral:rRNA from 1 species